AGAAGAACCCAAAAUGAUUCCAGUGAUCUGAGGAGGUGGGCAGAAGACACUGGGUUGAGCAGACUUGAGUCUACAUGCUCUUCUCACAAAACCCUGUAGAAGACAGAAGGAAGAUACAGAAGACCUGGAAUAGAAAAGCUUAAAUGACCGGUGUGGGAGAAAGAAUGCAUUUUGUAGCUGCAUGAUUUACAGUAGUGGCCUGUUUCAUCGGUAUCAUCACUAUGUGAAGAAAGAGAAAAAUGUGAGAAGCAGCAAGAAUAGAUCAUUAUAACAACAGCAGCAAUGUUCUUUAUCAUUUUGGACUUGUCACUCUUUCAAUGAUUAGGUACUUGGCCAAUAUAUAAUUGGUGGUAUGUUUCAAAAAUUAAUGGAUUCAAUGCUUUUUACAUGCAAGCAAAAAUUGUUAAAGAUAUUCUAUAGGAGUUUUUUUUUUAUUUU